UCAGUGUGUCAGUCACACCGGGAUUCAUUCACUGAGUUCCGGGAGCAAGGCAGCUUUUCAAGGCUGGGCACUAAACAGGGGGAGCUUUGUGAGUGCCUAGACUCCUCUGCCGGCCACCUGCUCUUCCUCUCCUUGGCUUCCACGAAGAAAGCUGCAUGAGAGCAGGGAAUUGCUUUGUCCAAUGCUAAUCACUAAAGCUUAGAAUACUGCUUGUUACAUGGGCCAGAAGUCAAGAAUAGGAGAGCAGCAGAAAACCACUAAAUAUGACAGCCAGCUUCACAUGGUUAGGUGGAAACAUCAUUGAUGCAGGAUUUUUCUUUGUCUCCUUACCAGUUGGGGACCUCUGGCUGGUGAUGUUACCUGCCACAGGAUGUGCCCUGCCCAAUCAGCUUGCCAAGUCUAGCUUGUGCACUGGUUCCUGAGUUCUUGUCCUGUGCCCAAGAAGAAUGAGGAUGUGCUGACCAUUGAAGGAGUCUUGUUCUGUUGACCAGGCUGGAAUGCUGUGGUGUGAUCUCGCCUCAUUUCAACCUCCACCUCCCAGGUUCAAGCGAUUCUCCUGCCUCAGCCUCCCGAGUAGCUGAGACUACAGAGCCACCUCUUAGUUGGACUAUUUCACUGCAACAGUCCCCUUCAGCUGGUGAGUCUCU
rnacentral:lncRNA from 10 species